CCUACGGGAGGCAGCAGUGGGGAAUUGUUCGCAAUGGGCGCAAGCCUGACGACGCAACGCCGCGUGGAGGAUGAAGGUCUUCGGAUUGUAAACUCCUGUUGACCGGGAGGAAUGGGUCCUGACCUAACACGUCGGGGCAAUGACGGUACCGGUUGAGGAAGCCACGGCUAACUCUGUGCCAGCAGCCGCGGUAAUA
rnacentral:rRNA from 1 species